UGUUGAUGGCUGGACAUUGCAUCAUCCUAGAAAACUUGGAGGCCAGUGAGGACAAAAAUAAAAAGUUAAGGGUGUAGAUUGCCCUGAGCAAAUUUGGUAUCGGUGGGACGAAAGCCUUAGGAGGAGAUAGCCACAUUCCAAUGUGUGCGAAUCGGCAAAAAAUGCGAAAUAGCCCUUUAACCGUACAUUAUACAGAUACGCGCUCUUUGACUUUUUCGUAGAUCUAAUUGAGAUACACAUGAUUGUCAAUUUUUGUGUCAAUAUGACAAAGCGUUCAGGCGUGACACUCAACAAUGUGUAUUUUUAUGUAAGGGGACAAGAAAAAAUUGACUUUUUUCUCCUACCAUGGGGGGGCGCUCUUUUGGGGAGUAAAAAUUCCUUCACAAAUGUGUUGAUGGCUGGACAUUGCAUCAUCCUAGAAAACUUGGAGGCCAGUGAGGACAAAAAUAAAAAGUUAUAAAACAUUUAAGAAUGUGGAUUUUUGGGUUAUUUUUGGCGCCCCCUAGAACCUAAACCGUGGGGUGCAGCGUCAUGAUUUUGAUAACUUUUAAUGGCCAUGGGGUGUAGAUUGGCCUGAGCAAAUGUGGUGCCGGUGGAACGAAAGCCUUAGGAGGAGUUAGCCACAUUCCAAUGUGUGCGGAUCGGCAAAAAAUGCGGAAUAACCCUUUAACUGUACAUUUGACAGAUACGCGCGCAUUGACUUUUUUGUAGAUCUUAUUGAGUUACAUGUGUGUGUCAAUUUUUGUGUCAUUUUGACAAAGCGUAUAGGCGUGACACUCAACAAUGUGUAUUUUCACCUUAGGGGACAAGAAAAAAUGGACUUUUUUCUCCUGCCAUGGGGGGGCGCUCUUUUGGGGAGUAAAAAUUCCUUCACAAAUGUGUUGAUGGCUGGACAUUGCAUCAUCCUAGAAAACUUGGAGGCCAGUGAGGACAAAAAUAAAAAGUUAUAAGACUUUUAAAUAUGUGGAUUUUAGUGUUAUCUUUGGCGCCCCCUAGAACCUAAACCUUGGGGUGCAGCGUCAUGAUUUUGAUAACUUUUAAUGGCCACGGGGUGUAGAUUGGCCUGAGCAAAUGUGGUGCCGGUGGAACGAAAGCCUUCGGAGGAGUUAGCGAAAUUCCAAUGUGUGCGGAUCGGCAAAAAAUGCGAAAUAACCCUUUAACCGUAAUUUUGACAGAUACGGCCGCACUGACUUUUUUGUAGAUCUUAUUGAGAUACAUGUGUGUGUCAAUUUUUGUGUCAAUAUGACAAAGCGUACAGGCGUGACAGUCAAUAGUGUGAAUUUCCACCUGAGGGGGCGCUAUGGAGCCAUUUUGCAUUUUCUUGUUUUGGCGACUUCAGAAUAUCGAAUUUUUCACCAGGCCCGGUCGUCCUGCCAAUUUUCAUGAGUUUUCGCCAGUGGGAAGUGGGCCAUUUUCCAGUUCAAAGGGGAGGAAAAAGAAAAAAGAAAGAAAGAAACAAAGAAAAACCACUUGGGGAAUAAUAGGGCCUACGCCCGGCUGCUCUGCAGCUGGCUCGGGCCCUAACUAGGACCCCGUUGGGGCACUGGCGGGCCCGAGCUGUGUCGCAUCCCCCCCCCCCAACGCGCUUCCUCCCCGUCCCAUUUGUGUCCUCUGGCCAUCGCCCUCUCUGGUAACGCCCAUCACUGCAAAGACCCUUUUCCUUCAUCGGCGUUUGCUGUUCUUCCUUCCAGUGCGUGUUGCUUUCACUUACACUUGCCACAGCCAGCCUCGUGAGUGCCUAGCCUAUUGGAUAUCACUGUCACCUACACAGGACAGUCAUUACCUUUCUAUUAAUACUUUGUUUUUUAAUUUCACAUUAAUUUCCAUAUUGUAUAAACAACUGGAAAAAACUUGAGCCCCUGCCCCUGUAUAAUCAUGUGCACGUCUCUGUUCUAGCUGUAAGGUGAAUCUUCACUGCUCAUGUUCUCCUCAGAAGUAGUCACCUCACUCCCCUCAGGUUACUGUACACAUGCACCAACUGCCUGCUUCAGGUUUGGAUGGAGCUUCAUGGUUGUCUUUUGGAGAAAUGACCAGUCAAGUUGUGUUUGAAAUUUGAUUUUUUUCAGGGGCAAAAGGAGCCUCUGCAUUCUUGUCAAAUAUGUAAAUAGCAUGUUUUUGCAGGUGCUAAAAACCAGACUCUGAGUGUGUGUGUGCGUGUGUGUGUGUGUCUGUGUGUGUGUGUGUGUCUGUGUGUGUGUGUGCGUUCAAGUCACAUGACAUAUUUAACCGGAUGUAGCUGCAAGACGGAGCCUCGUUGACUCUCCGUUUCAACUUAUCUCAAAAGUGAGGACCUCAACCUAUAUACCAGUUUUUAAAUUGUGUUGAUAGGCCAAAUAAAACCAGAGUUAUGAUAAAUUAUGUCCGCGAUACUUGUUUUCUGCUUAUUUUGAUCACGUUCGGCGCUCAAUCGCGCUGUAUGAGACAGGAAAACAUAGCAUGCAGACAUUAGCGACAGGUCUUACAGGCGGAAAAGGCUUGCCAAAGGAAAAAAAAAACACACCACAACAUCUCUCCUAUUGGUGGAAAACUUCACCACAACAACCAAUCCAAAAUUAUAUGGUGACUGAUUGACAAGGGGCGGGCGCUUACGUUCUUCCUGCAAUAUGAGAAGGGAGGGAGGGACUCUCAGCAGGGAUGCAGUCUGGGACACGUAGUUGCAAACCUAGCGACUUUGUUGUUAGAUUCAAUGACUUUUCAGACCCCCUAACGACUUUUUUUAGAAAGAAAGUUACUUUUAUCGACUUAAUCUGGAGUUUAGAGACUCUGACAUGAAGCAGGCUUUCCUUACUGAGGAGUUAGCAACGCUGCUAAGGGUGCAGAGCCACACAUGCGCUCCGAGCUCUGCAUGGGAGACUGAAGCUGACAGAGCUGCAGCAGUUAGCAGGUUUCACCCUCAGAGACCACCAGGGGUUCAUGUUGAGGCAUUUUCAGUUUUUUUUUUUUUUUUGCCAUAGACACUGUCAGCACAAUCUGCAGUUACACUAACAAAAAUGCUGCAAAAAACAAAGAAUUAUGGAAAAAUUACACAUGGACUAACAUAGAGGAGGAUCUACACAAGUUUUUUACAUCAUGUUUUACAUCAUGCAUCAUUUACAUCAUGUUUUUUUGUAGUGGCAUAAAUAAAAAGUGACAUUUGUGAGACUAUACAGUGUUUUGUAAAUAAUUUUACAAAGAACACCUGGGCCAUUGCCUGCAUUUUGAUGUAAAUAGAGGUAAAUUACUAUGUUCUUUGUUAAAAAUUUGCAUAUGUUUUGAAGUUUACAAUUUUUAUUUGAAGUUUAAGUUUUAAAAACAGUUCAUCACACAUAUUUGUGGUUUUCACAGUAAAAACGUUACUUUUUUCCACUCGGAUUUUAUGUUUUGUGUGUGAAUUUGGGUCCAAUGUGUAAAUAUAGUAUGUCAAAAUGAUAAAAUAACUGUAAAUUGACACAGGUGAGGUUGUGCUGAAAAAAAUGAUACCAGGCAAGGCAAGGUAAAAAUUUUGUAAGAGGAAAUAUAAAGGUAAAAUCUAAAGUAGUCAAAAACGGCCAAUAGUGACUCACAGACUCCACAGACAAGUCCCUUUGGCGCCACUCAGUGGGCAAAACUACUUUGUCUACUGUAAUGUAUAUUUGGGUCAUCUUUGGCGCCCCCUAAAACGUAAACCGUGGGGUGCAGCGUCAUGAUUUUUACAACUUUGAAUGGCCAUGGAGUGUAGAUUGGUCUGAGCAAAUUUGGUGUCAGUGGGACGAAAGCCUUAGGAGGAGUUAGCGAAAUUCCAAUGUGUGCGAAUCGGCAAAAAAUUCAAAAUAGCCCUUUUACCGUACAUUAUACAGAUACGCGCUCUUUGACUUUUUCGUAGAUCUAAUUGAGAUACAUGUGUGUGUCAAUUUUUGUGUCAUUUUGACAAAGCGUACAGGCGUGACACUCAACAAUGUGUAUUUUCACCUUAGGGGACAAGAAAAAAUUGACUUUUUUCUCCUGCCAUGGGGGGGCGCUCUUUUGGGGAGUAAAAAUUCCUUCACAAAUGUGUUGAUGGCUGGACAUUGCAUCAUCCUAGAAAACUUGGAGGCCAGUGAGGACAAAAAUAAAAAGUUAUAAGACUUUUAAAUAUGUGGAUUUUAGGGUUAUAUUUGGCGCCCCCUAGAACCUAAACCGUGGGGUGCAGCAAGAUGAUUUGUACAACUUUUAAUGGCCAUGGGGUGUAGAUUGGCCUGAGCAAAUUUGGUGCCGGUGGAAAGAUAGCCUUCGGAGGAGUUAGCGAAAUUCCAAUGUGUGCGAAUCGGCAAAAAAUGCAAAAUAGCCCUUUAACCGUACAUUUGACAAAUACAUGCCCUUUGACUUUUUCGUAGAUCUUAUUAAGAUACACGUGAUUGUCAAAUUUUGUGUCAAUAUGACAAAGCAUACAGGCGUGACACUCGACAAUGUGUAUUUUCACCUUAGGAGACAAGAAAAAAUGGACCUUUUUCUCCUGCCAUUGGGGGGCGCUCUUUUGGGGAGUAAAAAUUCCUUCACAAAUGUGUUGAUGGCUGGACAUUGCAUCAUCCUAGAAAACUUGGAGGCCAGUGAGGACAAAAGACAAAAGUUAUAAGACUUUUAAGAAUGUGGAUUUUUGGGUUAUCUUUGGCGCCCCCUAGAACGUAAACCGUGGGGUGCAGCGUCAUGAUUUGUACAACUUUUAAUGGCCAUGGGGGGUAGAUUGGCCUGCGCAAAUGUGGUGCCGGUCGAACGAAAGCCUUCGGAGGAGUUAGCGAAAUUCCAAUGUGUGCAGAUCUGCAAAAAAUGCAAAAUAACCCAUUAACCGUACAUUUGAAAGAUACGCCCGCACUGACUUUUUUGUAGAUCUUAUUGAGAUACAUGUGUGUGUCAAUUUUUGUGUCAAUAUGACAAAGCGUACAGCCGUCAUGUGAAUUUUCACCUUAGGGGGCGCUAUGGAGCCA
rnacentral:lncRNA from 1 species